rnacentral:rRNA from 1 species
UGGCGGACGGGUGAGAAACGCGUAGGAAAGUGUCCUGAAAUGGAAAAUAACGUUGGGAAACUGACGCUAAUACCGCAUAUGAGCUGAGGCUCAAAGCCGCGAGGCGCCUUGGGAGCUGCCUGCGUCCGAUUAGGUAGUUGGUGGGGUAAUGGCCUACCAAGCCUGCGAUCGGUAGCUGGUCUGAGAGGACGACCAGCCACACUGGGACUGAGACACGGCCCAGACUCCUACGGGAGGCAGCAGUGGGGAAUAUUGGACAAUGGGCGCAAGCCUGAUCCAGCAAUGCCGCGUGGAUGAAGAAGGUCUUCGGAUUGUAAAGUCCAUUCGGCGGGGACGAUGAUGACGGUACCCGCAGAAGAAGCCCCGGCUAACUUCGUGCCAGCAGCCGCGGUAAU